rnacentral:lncRNA from 12 species
GUGAAGGGUUGCCAUGGUUUCAGCGUGCAAUUAUCCGCAUGUGCUUUCAUUCUUUACAGAUAUGAUUACAUUUGACGACAUGUUCGCUCAUCAAAAUUUAGCGACCGUCGGGAACUUAGACGACGAAGAAAGAAGAGCACCUGGAAGAACAUUCCACAUGUUCUUAUUUAGUCGAAAUGAUCUAUGAUUUUUCUAUGGAAAGCACGAAGGAUGAAAUCAGCUGGAAGUCGCAUGGAGUGGCUUGCAGCGCACCUGCUGCACCUACUAGUACCUGGCGGGUCCAGAGCAAGUUUAGGACAGAUCUCACACCACCACCUGAAGGUACAUCUUGGUCAGCAGAGUGUCAUAAGGACGUCUACAUUACUCAGUUAGUACAGCGGCUGGAAAGUCUGCACAUGUCUGCGAUAGUGAACACACAACAGGUAUCAGUGUUUCUUCUGUUUCAUAUGGAGUUACUUGAGCUGCCAAUGUAACUGAGGAUUAUUUUAUAUAUAUAUAUAC